UACGUAGGGUGCAAGCGUUAAUCGGAAUUACUGGGCGUAAAGCGUGCGCAGGCGGUUAUGUAAGACAGGUGUGAAAUCCCCGGGCUUAACCUGGGAACUGCAUUUGUGACUGCAUAGCUAGAGUACGGUAGAGGGGGAUGGAAUUCCGCGUGUAGCAGUGAAAUGCGUAGAUAUGCGGAGGAACAUCGAUGGCGAAGGCAGCCCCCUGGGAUAACACUGACGCUCAUGCACGAAAGCGUGGGGAGCAAACAGG
rnacentral:rRNA from 1 species